rnacentral:rRNA from 4 species
AGAGUUUGAUCAUGGCUCAGGAUGAACGCUGGCGGCGUGCUUAACACAUGCAAGUCGAACGGUGAAGCCCAGCUUGCUGGGUGGAUCAGUGGCGAACGGGUGAGUAACACGUGAGCAAUCUGCCCCUGACUCUGGGAUAAGCGCUGGAAACGGCGUCUAAUACUGGAUACGAACCGUGGAGGCAUCUUCAACGGUUGGAAAGAUUUUUUGGUCAGGGAUGAGCUCGCGGCCUAUCAGCUUGUUGGUGAGGUAAUGGCUCACCAAGGCGUCGACGGGUAGCCGGCCUGAGAGGGUGACCGGCCACACUGGGACUGAGACACGGCCCAGACUCCUACGGGAGGCAGCAGUGGGGAAUAUUGCACAAUGGGCGAAAGCCUGAUGCAGCAACGCCGCGUGAGGGAUGACGGCCUUCGGGUUGUAAACCUCUUUUAGCAGGGAAGAAGCGAAAGUGACGGUACCUGCAGAAAAAGCGCCGGCUAACUACGUGCCAGCAGCCGCGGUAAUACGUAGGGCGCAAGCGUUAUCCGGAAUUAUUGGGCGUAAAGAGCUCGUAGGCGGUUUGUCGCGUCUGCUGUGAAAUCCCGAGGCUCAACUUCGGGUCUGCAGUGGGUACGGGCAGACUAGAGUGCGGUAGGGGAGAUUGGAAUUCCUGGUGUAGCGGUGGAAUGCGCAGAUAUCAGGAGGAACACCGAUGGCGAAGGCAGAUCUCUGGGCCGUAACUGACGCUGAGGAGCGAAAGGGUGGGGAGCAAACAGGCUUAGAUACCCUGGUAGUCCACCCCGUAAACGUUGGGAACUAGUUGUGGGGUCCAUUCCACGGAUUCCGUGACGCAGCUAACGCAUUAAGUUCCCCGCCUGGGGAGUACGGCCGCAAGGCUAAAACUCAAAGGAAUUGACGGGGACCCGCACAAGCGGCGGAGCAUGCGGAUUAAUUCGAUGCAACGCGAAGAACCUUACCAAGGCUUGACAUAUACGAGAACGCUGCAGAAAUGUAGAACUCUUUGGACACUCGUAAACAGGUGGUGCAUGGUUGUCGUCAGCUCGUGUCGUGAGAUGUUGGGUUAAGUCCCGCAACGAGCGCAACCCUCGUUCUAUGUUGCCAGCACGUAAUGGUGGGAACUCAUGGGAUACUGCCGGGGUCAACUCGGAGGAAGGUGGGGAUGACGUCAAAUCAUCAUGCCCCUUAUGUCUUGGGCUUCACGCAUGCUACAAUGGCCGGUACAAAGGGCUGCAAUACCGUAAGGUGGAGCGAAUCCCAAAAAGCCGGUCCCAGUUCGGAUUGAGGUCUGCAACUCGACCUCAUGAAGUCGGAGUCGCUAGUAAUCGCAGAUCAGCAACGCUGCGGUGAAUACGUUCCCGGGUCUUGUACACACCGCCCGUCAAGUCAUGAAAGUCGGUAACACCUGAAGCCGGUGGCCCAACCCUUGUGGAGGGAGCCGUCGAAGGUGGGAUCGGUAAUUAGGACUAAGUCGUAACAAGGUAGCCGU